GCAUGGGUGGUGUAAUUGGCAGCCACGCAGCCCCGAGAUGGCUGUGCCCGCGAGGGCGUGAGGGUUCGACCCCCUCCCCGUGCA
rnacentral:tRNA from 1 species